ACCGAGCACACAGGAAUGGUAGGACAAAAGCUGCUGGGACAGGUAAAAUAGUUUCACUUGACUAUUUACACUUGUUUCGACAUUGGCGAUGUCAGCGCUGGUACUGGUAGCUGUGCUGGUGAUGAUCGGAACAGUGGACGCCCAGGACAGCUCGACCACGACGCAGAGGUCGGCUGCCAUAGAUAUCGGCUUGGGAGACACCGUUGGCGGUGUGGGAGACUUACUAGAGGGACUUCUGGGAGGAGGCGUUCUGCACGUGAGCCGAGCUGGCAGGGCCCAGCAAGCGUCAUCAGCCCAGAGCGGCGCCAAGAAGGUUCACUCGUAGACAAAGAAAAUUAUCACAACUUACAUUAAGUUAGCCACUUUGAUAUCUGAGAGGGAUAUGUUGUACAUUGAACAAUAAAUAAGGAAUAAAAAUAGAUA